rnacentral:rRNA from 1 species
UACGUAGGAGGCGAGCGUUGUCCGGAUUUACUGGGCGUAAAGGGCGCGCAGGCGGCCCACCAAGUACGAUGUGAAAUCUCCCUGCUCAACGGGGAGGGUGCACUGUAAACUGGUGAGCUAGAGGACGGUAGAGGUGGGUGGAACUGAUGGUGGAGCGGUGAAAUGCGUUGAUAUCAUCAGGAACACCAGUGGCGAAGGCGCCCACUGGGUCAUUUCUGACGCUGGAGGUACGGAAAGCUAGGGUAGCGAAACGGG